CUUACUACACAGUCACAUACACCGAUUGUGCCUUACAAUUAUAAGUACGAGUAAUACGACGUACGACCAUAGUAAUAUCCUUAACUACGCAAAAUAAACAUCUUUCAGGUUAAUUAUAGUUGUAUACAAUAUGUGUUAUACGUAUUUUGUACAAUAGAAAUGCAAAUAUUGUUUAGAAACUUUAUGUAUUUGUCAUAAUUUUAAAAAUCUUGAAUGUUGAAUAUGAUUUUUUAAACGAAGAGUAACAAAAUAUUUUGUAUGAAAUUUAAAAAUAAUUUCAUGUUGUUUAUAUGAAAGAAAAGCUGCUUAAUAGCAGAUUUACUAUCUGAUAGCAGUUAAUAGUUUAAUAGUGAAGCGAUUAACGUUGUAAACGCGGGAAUUGUUCAAGUUUAAUCAUACAUUUGUCUCUAAAAAAUUGAUGUAAAGUAUUUCAAUUUGUUACGUCGAUUAAUAGAAAUACUAUAAUAUUAAAUAAGCAACAAAAAUGUACUAAUAGAUAUAUAUACAAUAAAUUAUAAUACAGCUUUAAGAAAUAAAUGAAGAUAGAAACAAAAUAUAUGAAACAUGUACUAACUCUAGAAAAGAUUAUAAUAGGCAUUAUGCCUCAAUAUAAUAAGAAAAUAUAUACAUACAUAUGUACUUAAGUAUAUUUAAAAAAUUAUUUUAUGUGAUACAUAAUUUUAAAUAUUGAAGAUAAACACUAUGUGUAGAAAGUAAGUAAUGGAAUACAAAUCUGUGACAAAUAUCUGCGUUUAAUCGUCGUUUUCAAUUAUUGGUUUGAUAUUUCAAGGGUCAAGGUUUAAUAAUCUGACUCAUUGCAUGACAAUUAUUAACUCAUUGGUGUUGAGAGUAUUCAAAGUUCUAUUUCAAAUGAAAUAAAUAGCUUUUGAAAAUGUUUUAGUAUAUUACAGCAAAAUUUUAUCAUUACAAUUGAUAUCUUGAGAUCUAAAAGAUUGGAAUAAUUUAAAAAUAUGAUAUAAAUUUUUUAAUUAAGAUAUCUGAGAUAAGAUAUCUGAUUUAAUUAAAAUAUUGUUUUAAAAAUUUUUGGAACUUUUAAAUCUUUUGAAGAUCGUAAAUAGGAAAUAUAUAAAUUGAUUAUUAUCAUGAAAGCAUUUAUUUUUAAAUGUGUAUAGUUAUUCUGUACAUAUUUUUUAAAUCACCAGCUCUACAACAUGCAAAAAUUGGAAAUUUCUUACCUUAAACGUAAAGAACUAGGUCAAGUUAAUGCAAAGGUAGGUUGAUAAAGAGAAAUUAUCUCAAUAAUGUGUAUACGAUACUCAAUUAUGUCAAAUACAAUGCAAUCAUCAACGAUACAAGUAAUGCCUUAGGGAAAAAGAGAAAUGGAUGACAUCCUUAAAUCAUGAUUGUGUUGAGUGAUAUACAAGAAACAUGAAAACUAGUGCAGUAUGUACAUCCAAGCAGCCGUAAAGCUGGUAUGAGGAUAAUCAGUUCAGACAUAAAAAUGAGAAAAUAGAACACUUGAAGUGCUACAUAUUAGUAAAAAAAUUAGAAUAUGCAAGUCAAAUAGUGUAACAAUGAUCUCAUAAUAACAGCAUUAAAAAAUAAACACUGAUCAAUAUCGCAAGUAGAAUGAAAUAUUUUCAUAUUAUAUUAUAAUACAUAAGUAGUAUAAUUUAUGUCAUGGAUACAUAUAUAUUACAUUAUUAUUAUGCAUACUAAAUUAGCGUCUAAUGUAUAUUAUAAUGGUUAGAAUAACUAUCCAUAAGAUAAGAAUAUAUAUACUAAAUAAAUCAAUCUGCUACGCCAAAGAACCUCCUUGUAAUAGACAUAAAGUCUAAUAUAUAAUAAAGUACUAUUAUUAUUAUUAUUA